rnacentral:rRNA from 1 species
UACGAAGGGGGGCUAGCGUUGCUCGGAAUCACUGGGCGUAAAGCGCACGUAGGCGGCUUCUUAAGUCAGGGGUGAAAUCCUGGAGCUCAACUCCAGAACUGCCUUUGAUACUGAGGAGCUCGAGUCCGGGAGAGGUGAGUGGAACUCCGAGUGUAGAGGUGAAAAUUCGUAGAUAUUAGGAAGAACACCGGUGGCGAAGGCGGCCCACUGGAUCGGUACUGACGCUGAGGUGCGAAAGCGUGGGGAGCAAACAGG